rnacentral:rRNA from 1 species
UACGGGGGGGGCAAGCGUUGUUCGGAAUUACUGGGCGUAAAGGGCUCGUAGGUGGCCAACUAAGUCAGACGUGAAAUCCCUCAGCUUAACUGGGGAACUGCGUCUGAUACUGGAUGGCUUGAGUUUGGGAGAGGGAUGCGGAAUUCCAGGUGUAGCGGUGAAAUGCGUAGAUAUCUGGAGGAACACCGGUGGCGAAGGCGGCAUUCUGGACCGGCAUUGACGCUGAGGCGCGAAAGCCAGGGGAGCAAACGGG